UAUAUAUAUAUAUAUAUAUAUAUAUAUAUAUAUAUAUAUAAGAGUUGUACUAAAGGUAAUGGUUUAUUGGAUAUACACUAAUGAUUAAGGUUCCAUAAACACUGCCACACUUCUAUUACUAAUACACGAAAACAAACCAUGACAGAGAGAGAGAGAGAGAGAGAGAGAGAGAGAGAGAGAGAGAGAGAGAGAGAGAGAGAGAGAGAGAGAGAGAGAGAGAGAGAGAGAGAGAGAGA